rnacentral:rRNA from 1 species
AAAAAAGAACGCCCGACGCUUCUCGUUCGCUUUGUCGAGAAGAAAUAGAGAGACAGAACAUCAUCUCGAUCCCUUUUCCUUUCCUCUCCCAAAACACACGCCCCUCUCCUCCCUCUCCCACAGCUAGGGUUGCCGCUGCCGCCCUCCCCAUGCUCGCGGCCUCUCCAUCUCGCACCAGGAGCUCCCGCGCCGCCACGUCCCCUCGCCAUGCAGGCUUCGCCGCAGAAGAGAGCUAGCGCGCCCGCGCCCGCGCCGCCGGGUAGCAGCCAUGCCCAGAGGAGGACGUCCAUGGAGCCAGCAUCCCCGUCGUCGACCUUGCACACACGGAAGGUCUCUGCUACUGGCCGAGGUCGACCAGGUCGACAACGCGCUCGCCGGCCAGCAGCUCAUCCUGGAGCCUACGUACGGUCACUUGCUACCCCCGCCCCCUCCCUAUUGAUCUUGACAUGCCCAUGAGGAGCUAUGUAGUUACCCCAAGGGUAAAGUUUCUGUCUUGCUUCACGGGCCAUGGCUCCUUCUUCCCAAACCCCACUUUGUCUCCCCUUUGACUUGGCUAUUCCUGAUCUCGGUGGAUGACAUGUCUCAAAUUUCCAUUGGACAAGGCUACUAACAUAAAGGAGCAAACUGGAAAUUCACCUGCACAUUUUAGAAGCACAUGCCGAUGGUGCACUUGCCUUUGGAAUUAAAGAUCAGCUUACACUGACCAGAGAUCAUAUAAAAAUACUUGACUCUAUAGUAGUAUGAAGGGAUACAGAGAAGGGGGUCAGGGCAGUGGAUUCCCAUAAUGAUGCAAGAAAAAAAAUGUCUCUGGGUCCAACAUAUACCCUUGUAAGAAAGGAAGAAGCUUCUUGGUGAUGGAGAUGGUUCUCUUAUAUUUGGUAGGAGGUAGAAAAAAAUCCAGCAUGGGAAAACACCACAUUCAACAUGGUGUAAUUAUGAUUAUCUAAAUGAGUGCUUGUGGUCUCUUUAUGGCCUUAUUUUCUGGUCACAUACCGACACACGUUUUCAAAUUUUCUCUAAUAGAUCCUACUCUGUUUCAGUACAUCUAAUUGUUUCUCACUAGGAUGGCCAAUGCGGGAUGAUGGUGACUUCUUCAAAUCUGUGCAAGCUAUCUCCUCUUCAGCAUCACUGUAUUUUUGAAAAUGUUAGAUCUGAAUUUAGAGUGCACUUCUGCAAAAAACAGUUUGUCCUGAUUACUAUUUAUGAUUUUAUUUCUGUAGGCACUGAGAAUGAUUGAAUACAGCUAAUCAUUUUAGAGGUUUGUUGUAGGGUGCUCUACGAGGUACUUUGUUAAGAUAUGCUCUUUCUGUGGCUGCCAUUUUAGCCAUUGAGGAUUUAACUUACCAGGUUAUAUCAUCAUUAAACAUACUUUCUUUUGGAGCCUUCUUUGUUCAUGCUUUGUAGUUUUUUUACAGUAUUUGUAAAUUCCUGAGGUAACUGAGGAAACACACAUUUAGUUGUGUGUUUGAGAAAAAAUAUUCAUGAGCUUAAGUCUUCAGUGUUAGUGAAAGUUGAAACUAUACACUUGCUAUUUCUGUAGCGUCAUCAGGGGGCAGCUUAUUUUAUCAACAUAUGCCAGCCUGCAUAUUUAUUUUGUAUGCAAAUCUAUUCAACCCAAAUGCUUAAUGGUCUUGACUGUACUCUAAAUAUCGUGGGAGAUAUCAUUUUGAGAUUUAACUAGCCUACUUUCUAUUGGUUUUCAGUAUGAAUAUGUCCUUCCUCUAAAUCUGUGGGAAAGGUUCACCAGAAGUGCCAGGUAGAUGUAGCACUGACACUACAUUCCUAAAUAUAAGUCUCAAAAGAAUAUUAGUACACCGGUCUUUAUGAUGCGAUGAACGUUUUCCUAAUUGAACCGAUGCAGCGAAUAUUAGCACACCGGUCUUUUUUAACAAUACACCUGACAUUAACGACCCAAAUGCAUGUUCGAUUUUACUGCCAUCCGAUAUCUGUGCAUGGUAAUAUCAAAACAGAAAAAUAUGGAAGGGCAUGUUUUUUUGGUACAAUGUGAAGUGGAUUCAUGAAUGGGUAACUGGUACCUUCAUUUGAAUAAACUUCGUCCAAGAAUUUUGCUGCCAUGCAAUGUUCUUCAGUUAUGCGAGUGAUGAUCUAACGUUGUGCAAGUACACAGUUUCAUAUGUUUGCUUAGUUAAUCCAAACACACCAUGCCCAUGAUCAUAUGAAUAAACUGAAGGACAUGCAUGAUAUCACCGAGAGUGAAUAAAGUGAUGUGCCCUGAUAAAAUAUGAAAUUUUUUCAAGUGUAAUUACAUUGAUUAGAUGAUGCUGGUUUUCGAAAUUUCAAACAAUACAUCACCACCUCUGUUUAGAAACACUACAAAUAGCAACCUACCUCUGAAUCUCAUAUGGUUCUCUGAGAUUUGUAUGUCGGCUUACCCAUUAUAAUGCCCUGUAGGUGUCCAAAACACCAUUACACAGGUCAUUCUGCUUUUGUAAUAAGGUAUUAGCUUGCAUACGUGCAAUUUUUAGCUAGCAUUAUUCUUAGGAGGAUGGAGGCACUAUUUCCCCUCCCUCUUCGUCACACACCUAUCAGUCGUCGGCGUCGCCACUGACCGCCGUGACCUGGUCUACUGCGGAAUGCGUCGCUAAAAAGAUUGAGAAACCUCUUUCCAACAUACUUCUAUUUGUGAUGCUUUGUUCGGGAGUGCUAUCAUAAUUUCAUUGAUGUGCUAUUGUGCUUAUAAGUACUGAUGAUGGAUUCUAUUUCUAUGACAAAUAUCCAUUUCAUAUUUUUGCAGCAUUGUUAAGUGUUUUUGUUUGCCCUGAUUUACAGUGGGUGUUAUCCUCGAAAGAGAUCAACUUCCCAUAUCUAGUGGCACUAACUUUGUUGCAUAUGGUGUUCUCAUCUGUAGUAUGCUUUGCAGCUACAAAGAUUUUCAAGAUACUUAAUAGCAUCAGAUUUUUACAUGGUUGCCAUGGAUAUCUCUAAUCUGUGUAAUAAUUAAGACGUCAUACUUUUGGAAUUCCAAUUACUUUGUUGACAUUCAAGAAAUCCAUAUCUUACUAUUUUUUUAUGUGAGCUUAUCAUGUGCUCUUAGUAUCUUACAAAAUUUUGAUGUACUUCACUUUCCUGAUACUAUACUGCCAUGGGUCAUUUCGCUAAUGGAGGUGUGUGGUGCAAUCUAAGUUGGAGUACACCUUGUAUGCUCAUAUAUCCCUCAUGUUGCUAAUCUACAGGAAGACAUUCUAUCUUAUAUUUUUGUUGCCUAAAGAAACAAAUGAACCUCAUGUUUUUCCUUGAUAGUCUAUUAGUCAUGCCGUUGGCUAUUGUUAUUUGGAGUGUAGAUUGAAAUGCUUCAGAUUUUGUGCCUCAUGUAAUAACACAAUUAUGUUAUGAAAUCAAACUAUCCUAUUUCUAAUAAGAUUAAGUCUAUCUAUUGGCUGCUAAUGAUUGUGUUCACAAAUAAAUUAUAUUGUUGUUUAUUAAGUGUUUCUGCCAGAUGUGUUCCGCAUGCUCAUUUGUUUUGCUAAUAUGAUGUUAUGGUGGCGUUCAUUUGUCCGCUGUACCAUUGAGCUAUGUUGCUGCAUGUUAUGGUGGCGUUCCAUUGUCUGAAUUUGGAUCGUGGUGCAGGUCUCGGCAGCACCCAAUGGCAGGCUGAAUGAUGUGGUGGCAUCUCCAAACCCUCAGGUGUCGUCCGCAGGGCAGUGGGCAACAAUAGGGCAGCAGGAGUACAAGAAUGCCAACAUGUAUGCUGGCGCUGACCCCUACGUAGUAUUACUACAGAGGCUGGGGGAUUAUUCAGUCUAUGUGGGCGUUGACGGAGCAGAGUCAUUUAACCCUGGAAAUGUGCUAGCAAGGGUAUGAUCGAGCAUGAUGGACAUGAUGGAUGGCAGGAAAUAGAACUAUAGAAAGGGAGAUCUCGUGAAGUGUUUUGGCGAAUGGCGAUGCAAUGCUUGUGCUCCUGGUAGCAGGCCAAUGUGGUUGGAUGAGCUCAGCACAUCAAAUGGUGCAAUCGAGUUGUAUGCCAAAAAAUGAUUGUCUUCGGGAUGCCAAGUUGUCUCUAGAGGAGGGUGGAUCCCUUAACUGUGAGAUAAUUUCAAGCCGCAAGAUAAUGGCACAGACCCAAGCAUGUUGUGCUUCAAGAUGAGGAGCCAGGCCUGACGACAAACACAUGAAGUGGUGGUGCGAUGGAAGAAUACGGCUUGGACAAUUCCAGCGAGAUGUGGCUCGCGUGGAUGUCGGCGAUGCAGCAAUCAGAAGAUCCUUUGGUUUGACUGCUCCCAUGUCCUCCAAUCCUUCUGUUUUCCUAGAAUUUUUUUCUCUUUCUUCCAUGAGUAGGGAUUUAAUCUUUUGAAGUUUGUACAAGGGGUUUGCUGACCACCUGAUUGCCAUUCCUCUUCUCCUUGCCUAUCUUUUGGAGCAUGUUAGGCUUUGAUUUCAAUUUAAUGUUGUGCUCUAUCAUCCACCUUGUAAGACUGUCACAUACUAUAUGAUAAUAUGGACCUAUUAACUUGAUAUGCCUGAUGAUUGAACACUUUUCUGC